rnacentral:rRNA from 1 species
GAGUUUGAUCCUGGCUCAGCCUGAACGCUGGCGGCGUGGCUAAGACAUGCAAGUCGCACGGUGUAGCAAUACACAGUGGCGAACGGGUGAGUAAUGAAUCGCUAAUGUACCCCGGACUCUGGGAUAGCUGCCCGAAAGGGCAGGUAAUACCAGAUGAGACCCCGAUCAGGCAUCUGAUUGUGCUCAAAGGUCCGCCGGUCUGGGAGCAGGCGAUUUCGUAUCAGCUAGUUGGUGAGGUAACGGCUCACCAAGGCGACGACGCGUAGCCGGACUGAGAGGUUGGCCGGCCACAUUGGGACUGAGACACUGCCCAGACUCCUACGGGGGGCUGCAGUAACGAAUCUUCCGCAAUGCACGAAAGUGUGACGGAGCGACGCCGCGUGUGGGACGAAGCCCUUCGGGGUAUAAACCACUGUCAGGGGUUACCAAGUUCUGAGGAGCCCCAGAGGAAGGCACGGCUAACUCUGUGCCAGCAGCCGCAGU